UCUUCAUAAUACAGAAGCUGAAAAAGCGUAAUUACGUACAUCACAUGCAUGAUUUUAAUUAAUUCACGGUUAAAAUUCCAAAUUUCAGAUUUCCAAACAACAAAAAACGAAAAGCUUGUGUUUUGAAAUCUUGUUUACAUUGUUCGUGCUUGACCAGUUGACCAACUACCGCGCGUCGCGCGCACCCUCGCCUCACCCUUACUACAACGAAACCGUUCGUGUUCUAUUACUCCGUCCAUUCUAGUAACGUACACCGUUGAAGCUUUUACGUCGUGUGAGUUGCAGCUUGCAGUUUUGUUUUAUUUUACUCGUUAAUAUUCCGUAUUUAUUAUCAUUUUUUUAUUAAAAAGUUGCUUAUUGUGUAAAAUGUAUCCGAACACAAUCAAUUAGUUCGAAUUACGAUGUUUUUGGUAAACGCAAGUUCGUGUUGUCGGCCAUUGUUUCAUUCAAGUGUUCAAGUUAACGUCUGCAAAGUACGUCUCCGUCGUUUUAAGUGUUUGUUCGUAAAUUUCGCUAUAUUUAUGGAAUAUUUAUGGUAUUUUCUUGUGUGGCUGUAACGGCUGAUCGUAUUUAACGAGAUCGUGACUUUUGUUUCGGAAUGUCGAAUGUACUUACCUACUCGUAACGGGUUUUCUAUUUCGGAAGUAUUUUGGAUUUCGUGUUUCGUCAUUCGUGAUGUGUUUUAACCCUGGUUUAUUUACCUACGUAGGUAUUAUUUUCGCGUUUGUUGGUGAUUUGUAAAUUUCGAUUCAUCGAUUGUACGUAUUUUUGAAUCAAAUGGUGUUCUAUGCCAACGAUCAAUGAACCUUUUGUUUGCGUGUUGUGUUGUGACUUGUCUGGCGUCCAGCGGUCUGCCGUACGUCUUGCUGCAGUUGUACGUUCAUUUCUGCGUUUUCUUCCGAUUAAUCGGUUUGUAUUGCACCGAGAUCCAACUUUACGAUGAAGAAUUAUUUCGAAAUUGGAUACUGUCUACUUGAACAUACAAAUUCCAUACAUUUAGAAGUAUUGGAAGUACCUGCUUAUAAUUGGUAAAAUUAUGAGAAUUAUUUUAAGAAAAAUGCAACGUUCAUUGGAGCUGUUUCCCACACCCAUUGACAUCCUCAAGCUGAAUCACUGAUUAGGACUCCUGGAAAAUUCAAACACUUAUAUUGUGCACUAUUGAAAAUCUCAAGAUAUUACUGGUCAAGGUUUGUAUCAUACUGAGUCCCAACUUAACGAAGAAUUAUUUCGAAAUUGGAUACUGUCUACAUGAACAUGCAAAUUCCGUUUAUUUGGAAGUACCUACCUAUACCAAGGACUGUUUUCCACCCACUGACGACUGCCAUCUUCAAACUGAAUUACUGAUUCGGACUCCUGAAAAAUUCAAACACAUACUUACCUAUCAUAGUAUUGAAAAUCUCAAGAUACCAAUAAUGGUUCGCAUCGUAGCAAGUUCCAAGUAUGAUGAUUUAGAAAGAUACGAAAUGUGAUUUUUUGGCAAGUUCUUGCUCAUUUGAUAGAAUUACUACUUACAAGAUAUAAAUUUGAAGACAAAUUCAACAAACAACGAUCGUUGGUACGAGUCUAUGAAAACAGUUGGCGGGUCAAUUUUUUGAGAAAGAAUAUUUUAAAAUCGUGGAUAUUCGGUACAUAUUGCGUAGGUAUUCAAAAUGCCACAAAUAUUUGCCAACUACAUUACUCAUUUCAUUGGACAUCAUAGAUUUCUACCGUGAAGUACCAUCAUACUCUGAAAUUGGACGAUGUAAUUAAUUUUAUUUCGUAAAAAUGUUAAUAUUGUACCUAAUUUUAAAAUGUAUUUUGUAAUUUAUUUUGUCGUGCCCAAAUAAUUCUGCUUGGCAUUAUGUACCUAAACCUAUGAAAUGCAUAGUACCUAUCUUAAGUUGUAAGGGUAUCCGGAUACUUAAGUAGAUUUAAGCAGUAGGUUUUAAGCAUAGGUAAUGAUCGUAUCUAUUUCUAAGUACGUAUGUAUACCUAUCAACUGUUGGUGUAUUUGCGAUUGCAUUCAUUAUUUUUCAUGUCAUGUUUAUUGUAAUUGCAUAUUGUUAUACUAAUGUUUUUUUACAGCAUAAUUAUGAAGAUUCGUAGAUCAAGUAGAUCUAUUGAUGGCGGCAAGGUAAGUGAAUAUUGAGUUAAUUAUGAGAAUACGCGUUUGCGUUUAUUUUUAUGAAAUUUGAUUGAAAACGUUUAAUGAAAAGUUACUUUUUUGAUAUUGAAAGAUGGUGGAUAUUGAGGCUCUGAUAAAAAUAUAUUUUUACAAUCGUCUAGUCUUCUCCAAAAUUGUACAUAGCAUUGAUGUAUUUCCUGAUGAGAUAACUCCGUGUUUAAAUGAGUGUCAGAAGGCAAAAUUUUAAUUAUGUACCUACUUAAAUCAUUUUGAUGCGAUCGAAAUCGAAAAUUUUGAGUCAAUCUUUCUAGCUGAACCCUGAAUAUUUACGUUUAUUUGUAUUGUCUAGUUAGUUUAUGACAUCAACUGCGAUCUUCACGAUAUUUAUUUAUGAUGGAUUGGAAACGGAUAGAAUAGGUAACAGAAAAGUUACGGCGAUGUACUUAUAUGUAUAAAAGGAUUAUUAUCGAACGUACAAACGUACACACCUAUGUAAUUUAUUGAAAAUUAUUAUAAUCUGCAUGAAAACGAGGAUAAAGGCAGGUGGAUAAAUUUUAGCACUAAAAUAGGUAAGUCAACAUUUUCAUCCUUUUUUUUUGUAAAAGCCCCCUCCUCCCCGAAAAAUUAUACUUUAUUGAAAAUCUAAUAUUAUAUUUCGGAUGGCUUGAAGGUUUUCAUUUACGAGGGUUUUGCAUUGUUCAGAUGAAAUUUAUUAUGAACCCUUUUUUUUUGGCAAUGAACUCGAAGGUUUUGAUCUUCAAGUUCUGUUCAUUCUUAUUUGGCGAUGUAAAACUAAAAGACAGAUUGUGAAAACAUUUGUUGAAAAUUUGUGGGUUUCAAUUCAAUUUUUAGGGAAAGUGGGAAACCCAGUCCCCCUCCUCAGUACAGGAAUCUCUAAUUAGAAUGAAACUUGGUGGUUGGAAGAGGGUAUACGUAUACGUUUCUCAAAAGGAGCCUCAAGAAACCUCCAUCUCCAUUUUCCCUUCUUAAUUCAAUUC